UACGUAGGGGGCAAGCGUUGUCCGGAAUCAGUGGGCGUAAAGCGCGCGUAGGCGGCUCGAUCAGUCUGCUGUGAAAGUCAAAGGCUCAACCUUUGAAUGCCGGUGGAUACUGUCGAGCUAGAGUCCGGAAGAGGCGAGUGGAAUUCCUGGUGUAGCGGUGGAAUGCGCAGAUAUCAGGAGGAACACCAACGGCGAAGGCAGCUCGCUGGGACGGUACUGACGCUAAGGCGCGAAAGCGAUGGGGAGCGAACGGAGGA
rnacentral:rRNA from 1 species